UAACCCUAUUUGUGAAAAUCCCGGAUUGUGUGACUAGGAUUACCGGCACCUGGUCAGGAGCACCCGGGGAUUCAGAAUCUCUGCCUUUGCGGGACAACAGGAAAGGGUAAGUCAGUGGCUGAUCAACCAUGAGUUUGAGGAGCAAGAUGAAGAAUGUACAUGUUCAAGCCAUAUCAGACCAAGCGGGUUAAGGGUCUAUCAGUGAUGAACUUUUGAAUUCUAUUUUGCCGUUUAGGUCGGCUAGAAAUAAAUGACUUGUAAUAGCGUUUGUAAAUAUUUUUGGGAUCCCAACUAUUUUAAAAGUUUUAAAUAUAUUACAAGUUUAUUUUCUUUCUGUUUAAUAUAAAAGUUUAAAUUCUGCGCUA